ensembl:snRNA U4 U4 spliceosomal RNA
AGCUUUGCACAGUGGCAGUAUCGUAGCCAAUGAGGUUUAUCCAAGGUGCAAUUAUUGCUAAUUGAAGAUUUAACUAUUAGGAGUGUGCUGCUACAAAUAUGGAUAUGCAUGUAUCACUGUAAUAUGAUGUCUUUACCUCUUUGAAGA